rnacentral:misc_RNA from 1 species
UCCUGGUUUCCCAGGCAGUCCCAUCAGAGUGCUUAUCCGAAGAUAGUGGCAACUGAUAGCAAGGGUUGCGCUCGUUAGAGGACUUAACCUAACGUCUCACGACACGAGCUGACGACAGCCAUGCAGCACCUGUGCAAUUGUCUAGACCGAAGCCUAGAAGACUGUAUUUCUACAGGUAUCAAAAACAUGUCAAGCCCAGGUAAGGUUCCUCGCGUAGUGUCGAAUUAAACCACAUGUUCCACCGCUUGUGCGGACCCCCGUCAAUUUCUUUAAGUUUUAGUCUUGCGACCGUAAUCCCCAGGCGAAUCACUUAACGCGUUAGCUACGACACCAAUCCGACUAGGUCGAACUGACGUCUAGUGAUCAUCGUUUACGGCGUGGACUAC